GCCGGGUGGAGAUUAUAACAGAACAUGGCCAAGAUGUUCAAAUGUUCAUAAAUGACCAGCAUGGUCGAAUAAUAAUAAGGCAGAACAGUUGAAACUGGAGCAGCAGCAUGGUCAGAUGGACUGGGGACAGCAAGGAGUCAUCAUGUCAGGUAGUCCUGGGGCAUGGUCCUAUGGCUCAGGUCAGUUGAAACUGGAACAGCAGCAUGGUCAGGUGGACUGGGGACAGCAAGGAGUCAUCAUGUCAGGUAGUCCUGGGGCAUGGUCCUAGGGCUCAGGUCCUCCGAGAGAGAGAAAGAAAGAGAG
ensembl:lncRNA